rnacentral:misc_RNA from 1 species
UACGGGGGGUGCAAGCGUUAAUCGGAGUUAUUGGGCGUAAAGGGUGCGUAGGUUGUUCAUUAAGUUAUGUGGGAAAUUCCUGGGCUCAACCUGGGGGUGUCGGAUGAUACUGGUGAACUUGAGUAUAGUAGAGGGUAGUGGAAUUUCCGGUGUAGCGGUGAAAUGCGUAGAGAUCGGAAGGAACAUCAGUGGCGAAGGCGGCUACCUGGACUAAUACUGACACUGAGGCACGAAAGCGUGGGUAGCAAACAGG